GGGGAUGCGGCUGUAGCUCAGUGAUAGAGUGUCUGCUUUUCAUGCAAAAGGUCCCAGGUUCAAUCCCUGGCAUCUCCA